CCCAAUAAACACUAGGUGAUGUCAUGUAGUACACACUGUUCAGCUCUGUUUUGGUGAAGGAGGAACAGGAAAUUGAAGAGUGACUUCAUGGACAGAGUCCCAUCAUGAAAUUAGCCAAUUGACUGUCUGAAACGUUAGAGAAGUUGCUUACUUGCAAAGAUACUUGGCUGACAGCCUCGCCCGUGUUGUUGGCUUCCAUCUCGUGACAUGUUUAUGGAUAUCUCACAAGGUUUUGCUAUCAGUGACAGACUGUGGUUUCCAGCGGAGACUGGCACCGCUUUUGAGGAACUGCUGGAGGCUCUAACAGAUACCUGUAAUAUCAGGUGUGAUUCUGUGCCAAGCCGCAAGAAGCAUGAAAGCCCAGGACUUCCCCUGAGCACCAGCUUCCAUCUGUACAGGACAAAAGUAAAAACUUCCCAAGGCUUGAGAACUUCCUGCUGAUUCACAUUUCAAACAGAGGCUGUACUUAACCCUCACCCUCACACCGGCACCCAGAGUGGACAGGAAGAGCUCCGGAGCCUUGGGGACAUUACAGCACGGAACUGCCCAGUGACCUGGUAAGUACUGCUGGACUAUGACGGGUUUGGAGUCUCAGGGUUAUG
rnacentral:lncRNA from 1 species